CUGAACCAGCCAAGUAGCGUGAAGGAUGACUGCCCUAUGGGUUGUAAACUUCUUUUAUAUGGGAAUAAAGUGAGCCACGUGUGGCUUUUUGUAUGUACCAUACGAAUAAGGAUCGGCUAACUCCGUGCCAGCAGCCGCGGUAAUACGGAGGAUCCAAGCGUUAUCCGGAUUUAUUGGGUUUAAAGGGAGCGUAGGCGGACUAUUAAGUCAGUUGUGAAAGUUUGCGG
rnacentral:rRNA from 1 species